AUUGAACGCUGGCGGCAUGCCUAACACAUGCAAGUCGAACGGUAACAGGCCCUUCGGGUGCUGACGAGUGGCGGAUGGGUGAGUAAUACUUAGGAAUCUACCCUGUAGUGGGGGACAACCCGGGGAGACUCGGGCUAAUACCGCAUACGCUCUACGGAGGAAAGCGGGGGACCNCAAGGCCUCGCGCUAUUGGAUGAGCCUAAGCCCGAUUAGCUAGUUGGUGGGGUAAUAGCCACCAGGCAAUGAUCGGUAGCUGGUCUGAGAGGACGACCAGCCACACUGGGACUGAGACACGGCCCAGACUCCUACGGGAGGCAGCAGUGGGGAAUA
rnacentral:rRNA from 1 species